rnacentral:rRNA from 1 species
CCCGCUCAGGACGAACGCUGGCGGCGCGCUUAACACAUGCAAGUCGAGCGAGAACCAGUCCUUCGGGGCUGGGGACAGCGGCGAACGGGUGAGUAACACGUGAGUAAUCCACCCCCGACACUGGGAUAGCCCGGGGAAACCCGGAUUAAUACCGGAUAGCCACUUCGGUUCUCGGACCGAAAUGAAAAGGUAGCUUCGGCCUCCGGUUGGGGACGAGCUCGCGGCGGAUUAGCUUGUUGGCGGGGUAAAGGCCCACCAAGGCGACGAUCCGUAGCUGGUCUGAGAGGACGAUCAGCCACACUGGGACUGAGACACGGCCCAGACUCCUACGGGAGGCAGCAGUGGGGAAUCUUGUGCAAUGGGCGAAAGCCUGACACAGCGACGCCGCGUGAGGGAAGAAGGCCUUCGGGUUGUAAACCUCUUUCAGGAGGGACGAAGCUACUCGGGUUAAUAGCCCAGAGGUGACGGUACCUCCAGAAGAAGCCCCGGCA